AGCGAACGCUGGCGGCAGGCUUAACACAUGCAAGUCGAACGGGCACUUCGGUGCUAGUGGCAGACGGGUGAGUAACGCGUGGGAACGUGCCUUUCGGUUCGGAAUAAUCCAGGGAAACUUGGACUAAUACCGGAUACGCCCUCCGGGGGAAAGAUUUAUCGCCGAAGGAUCGGCCCGCGUCGGAUUAGCUAGUUGGUAAGGUAAAGGCUCACCAAGGCGACGAUCAGUAGCUGGUCUGAGAGGAUGAGCAGCAACAUUGGGACUGAGACACGGCCCAAACUCCUACGGGAGGCAGCAGUGGGGAAUAUUGGACAAUGGGCGCAAGCCUGAUCCAGCCAUGCCGCGUGAGUGAUGAAGGCCUUAGGGUUGUAAAGCUCUUUUGUCCGGGAAGAUAAUGACUGUACCGGAAGAAUAAGCCCCGGCUAACUUCGUGCCAGCCGCCGCCGUAAUAC
rnacentral:rRNA from 1 species